rnacentral:rRNA from 1 species
AUUGAACGCUGGCGGCAUGCUUUACACAUGCAAGUCGAACGGUAGAGGGGGCAACCCCUUGAGAGUGGCGAACGGGUGAGUAAUGCAUCGGAACGUGCCCAGUCGUGGGGGAUAACGCAGCGAAAGCUGUGCUAAUACCGCAUACGAUCUCUGGAUGAAAGCGGGGGACCGAAAGGCCUCGCGCGAUUGGAGCGGCCGAUGUCAGAUUAGGUAGGUGGUGGGGUAAAGGCUCACCAAGCCAACGAUCUGUAGCUGGUCUGAGAGGACGACCAGCCACACUGGGACUGAGACACGGCCCAGACGCCUACGGGAGGCAGCAGUGGGGAAUUUUGGACAAUGGGCGCAAGCCUGAUCCAGCAGUGCCGCGUGCAGGAAGAAGGCCUUCGGGUUGUAAACUGCUUUUGUACGGAACGAAAAGGUCUGGGUUAAUACCCUGGGCACAUGACGGUACCGUAAGAAUAAGCACCGGCUAACUACGUGCCAGCCGCCGUAACAC